rnacentral:rRNA from 1 species
UACGGAAGGCAGCAGUGGGGAAUAUUGCACAAUGGGCGCAAGCCUGAUGCAGCCAUGCCGCGUGUAUGAAGAAGGCCUUCGGGUUGUAAAGUACUUUCAGUCGUGAGGAAGGUGUUAAGGUUAAUAACCUUAGCAAUUGACGUUAGCGACAGAAGAAGCACCGGCUAACUCCGUGCCAGCAGCCGCGGUAAUACGGAGGGUGCGAGCGUUAAUCGGAAUUACUGGGCGUAAAGGGCACGCAGGCGGUUAAUUAAGUUGGAUGUGAAAUCCCCGGGCUUAACCUGGGAAUGGCAUUCAAGACUGGUUAGCUAGAGUCUUGUAGAGGGGGUAGAAUUCCAUGUGUAGCGGUGAAAUGCGUAGAGAUGUGGAGGAAUACCGGUGGCGAAGGCGGCCCCUGGCAAAGGACUGACGCUCAUGUGCGAAAGCUGGGGAGCAAACAGGAUUAGAUACC